rnacentral:rRNA from 1 species
UUUAACGCUGGCGGCAGGCCUAACACAUGCAAGUCGAGCGGAUGAAGGGAGCUUGCUCCUGGAUUCAGCGGCGGACGGGUGAGUAAUGCCUAGGAAUCUGCCUGGUAGUGGGGGAUAACGUCCGGAAACGGGCGCUAAUACCGCAUACGUCCUGAGGGAGAAAGUGGGGGAUCUUCGGACCUCACGCUAUCAGAUGAGCCUAGGUCGGAUUAGCUAGUUGGUGGGGUAAAGGCCUACCAAGGCGACGAUCCGUAACUGGUCUGAGAGGAUGAUCAGUCACACUGGAACUGAGACACGGUCCAGAAUCCUACGGGAGGCAGCAGUGGGGAAUAUUGGACAAUGGGCGAAAGCCUGAUCCAGCCAUGCCGCGUGUGUGAAGAAGGUCUUCGGAUUGUAAAGCACUUUAAGUUGGGAGGAAGGGCAGUAAGUUAAUACCUUGCUGUUUUGACGUUACCAACAGAAUAAGCACCGGCUAACUUCGUG